rnacentral:tRNA from 1 species
GGCGGGGUAGCUCAGCCUGGUUAGAGCGCUAGACUCAUAAUCUAGAGGUCGAGGGUUCAAAUCACUCCCCCGCCA